GCUCACUGGUCUAGAGGUUAAGCGUUCGCUCGCGAGAAUGAUAGGUCAUGAGUUCGAAUCUCAUGAGGCG
rnacentral:tRNA from 1 species